GGCACCCUGCCUUCUCACCCUUUUGGUUCAGGAGACAAACGUGUGCAAUCCUCAUUUCUAAAGUCAGCUCAGCCUGGAAGGAUUCCUGGUCUCUCCCACCUUCUACCAUUCUGCUGCCAGGGACAGCAAGGAUUGGUGCAGUUUCUGCGCAGUGCUUUGUGCCUGGAAUACGGAGAAGGAAGAAAAAGAAGACAAGCACCCUGGUCCUUUUUUCCAAGAAAUAACAGGAGCCCCGAAGAAAAAAAAAAAAUCUUGAGUUUGUCCUACUCCAUGCAACAGUGCUGAAAAAUAUGAGACGCUCCUGCUCAAAAACAAAAACAAAAACAAACAAACAAAAAUCCAAACCAAAACAAACCAAAAAAAAAGCAAACAUUGGCUUGUAUACCUACAGAGACAUCGGGCUUUGUAAAGCAGCUUUGUAAGGCAACAUAACCAAAUGAGCCUUCCUUAUUUUUAUUAUUUCAAAAAUAUGGCAUAAUUAGCAAUAUAUUGCACUUGGUGAAAUCGCACCUUUCAUAUCAGGGAAAAACUUAAAAUGGAUAUGAGAAGUGAAGAAAGUGAUCAUAGGAGAAAAUCAUCUCAGAUUCACUUACUGAAAAUCUCUCUUGAAAAUUUUUGAUCGUCCUGGAGUGGUCUAUAUAAAGAUGAUCCCUGUAAGAGUCAGGAACUCUCUGGUUCUACAAUGCAGUCACUUAACUUGCACUGGAGUUGUAAUGAUGCAUACUCUCCGAGAGGCAGGCCCAGAGAGAAGUGAAGCUGAAACAGUAACAUUUUUUCCUGGUCAAGCUCCCGGACAUCUACCCUUGACAUCAAACCCAGUAGUCCUUUCGUUUGUCUAACAACUGAUUGUUUCAACUCUGACUUCAUAAUAAUGCCUAUUUUGUGUUGCUCAUGGCUCUCUGCGUCCAACUUUCAUGCUUGUUAACCUUGUUUCUACUCUAUAAUAACCUAAGGGGAAGCAGGGAAGUUAUGAGGGUCCAUUAUUGUAUAGAUGAGGAAACUAAGUUUUGGUCUGAAUUAAGAUUUCCUUUCUCCCAUCUUAGAGUUUACAUUGCAUCAUUUUGCUUCUCACUGCUGGGGUGGGUCCGCCUUAGGACCAUAUUCUAUACUUAUUCCACAUGAGUAGGAAAACCUAAUAUUCUUCCGUUUAAGUUCUAGCAAAGUUCCAAGAACAACCACAGGCUAUACACCCAUUGAGUCCUCACGCUCAAGGCCCCUUCAAUUCCUGAAAAUAAACAGCUGGCUGCUUCAGAUUGUGGUUUAGGAAUGCAAGGCAGCAUUUGGUAAUUAGCACUUGAACUGAGCAAUAACCUUCAAUGAGUCUUUCAUUUCCCUGCUAAGGGAGAGGGGCCUCAACAAACAGAGACAGAGUGUGCGCCAGCAUCAGUUUGUCAGAGUUGGAGACAUUCGUGAGAUGUAUGGCCUUAACCAGGUUCUUUAACUUCUCUGCGCCUCUCAGACGCUUCCUGUAGAAAAGAGAGGCCACCGCAAGUUUGCGGGAAAGGGCGAACGAAGUAACAGAGAUAGCAGAAUAGGGCUUGGCUCAUAGUGAGUGCUCAGUAAAUAGUAUUCCUAGUCAUUAUUAUUAUUCAUGACUUUGUGAAACUUAAAAGCAACAUUCAUCCAAUCUGAGUUGAUCAUUGAAAGUAUGAUCGUAUUUUUCUUUAUGUAAAUAAAUUGCUUUUAAAACAAGA